rnacentral:rRNA from 1 species
CACGUAGGGCGCGAGCGUUGUCCGGAAUUAUUGGGCGUAAAGAGCUCGUAGGCGGCCUGUUGCGUCCGCUGUGAAAGCCCGGGGCUUAACCCCGGGCCUGCAGUGGGUACGGGCAGACUAGAGUGCGGUAGGGGAGACUGGAAUUCCUGGUGUAGCGGUGAAAUGCGCAGAUAUCAGGAGGAACACCGGUGGCGAAGGCGGGUCUCUGGGCCGUAACUGACGCUGAGGAGCGAAAGCGUGGGGAGCGAACAGG